GCUGGAAUGGCAGAGCCCGGCCAUUGCAAAAGGUCUAAGCCCUUUACACAGAGGUUCAAGUCCUCUUUCCAGUU
rnacentral:tRNA from 1 species